rnacentral:tRNA from 1 species
GCCGGGGUGGUGAAAUUGGUAGACACGCUGUCUUGAGGGGGCAGUAGGCGUUGCCUGUGCGGGUUCGAAUCCCGCCCCCGGCACCA